rnacentral:lncRNA from 1 species
GGUUUAGAGUUAAAGGAUGGGGUUUAGGAUUUAGGAUUUAGGGUUUAGGGUUUAGAGUUUAGGGUUUAGGGUUUAGAGUUGAGAAAUGAGGUUUUGGGGAUAAGAUUUCAAAUUUUGAAAAAUAAAAAAAUUAAAAUUUUCAAAGGAUAAACUUAUAAAUGUGCUAUUUUGGUCAUUUUAGUUUUUGAGUGCUAUUUUUGUGAUAUAAACUUAGAAAAGUGCUAUUCUGGAGAUUUG